rnacentral:rRNA from 1 species
ACAUGCCUACAACAUAGCCUUAAUGCACCAGACUCCAUUAGAACUAUGUAGUUAAGCACGCUCGGACUAGAGUAGUAUUGGGAUGGGUGACCACCCGGGAAUUCCUAGUGUUUUACAUGCC